AGGAUGGAUGGAUGGAUGGAUGGAUGGAUGGAUAGGUAGACUAUAGGAUGGAUGGAUGGAUGGAUGGAUGGAUAGAUAGGUAGACUAUAGUAUGGAUGUAUGGAUGGAUGGAUGGAUAGAUAGGUAGACUAUAGGAUGGAUGGAUGGAUGGAUAGAUAGGUAGACUAUAGGAUGGAUGGAUGGAUGGAUGGAUAGAUAGGUAGACUAUAGGAUGGAUGGAUGGAUGGAUGGAUAGAUAGGUAGACUAUAGGAUGGAUGGAUGGAUGGAUGGAUAGAUAGGUAGACUAUAGGAUGGAUGGAUGGAUGGAUGGAUAGAUAGGUAGACUAUAGGAUGGAUGGAUGGAUAGAUAGGUAGACUAUAGUAUGGAUGGAUGGAUAGAUAGGUAGACUAUAGUAUGGAUGGAUGGAUGGAUAGGUAGACUAUAGUAUGGAUGGAUGGAUGGAUAGAUAGAUAGGUAGACUAUAGGAUGGAUGGAUGGAUGGAUAGAUAGAUAGGUAGACUAUAGGAUGGAUGGAGCGAUGGAUAGAUAGGUAGACUAUAGGAUGGAUGGAGCGAUGGAUAGAUAGGUAGACUAUAGUAUGGAAGGAUGGAUAGAUAGGUAGACUAUAGUAUGGAAGGAUGGAUAGAUAGGUAGACUAUAGCAUGGAUGGAUGGAUGGAUAGGUAGACUAUAGGAUGGAUGGAUGGAUGGAUAGGUAGACUAUAGGAUGGAUGGAUGGAUGGAUGGAU